CUAUUCACCUACUCAUGAGUUAGGUCUAAUAUUUGCUUACUUAAACUCAGAAUAACCAAAGCCUAUAGAGUUGUUUUCAGUCAUUUUUGAGAACUUUCAAUGCAGAGAGCUUGUCUUUAUGAUGGUUGUUGGUUAGGCUGCAGUGUGACUAUAUCGUUAAUCUGAAGAUACAAUUAGUCUUUGUCUGAAAUAUCCUGUUUGCAGUAGUUCUUACCCAGGUUCCCAUGCACUGCAAGACUGCUCAUGGCCUUUCCCCCCAGUUACAACUGCAUGGAGGAGAAAUCCGAUAUGAGUUAGUUAAUCUAGGAGCAAACAUUGCUCCAGAUAAAAAGGGGUUGUUUCUUUGGCAUCUUAUUAUUAUUAUUUUUAAUUGAUUUAUUUUAUUUUUGGCUGCAUUGGGUCUUCGUUGCUGCGCGUGGCUUUUCUCCAGUUGUGGCGAGCAGGAGCUACUCUUCCUUGCGGUGCACAGGCUUCUCAUUGCGGUGGCUUCUCUUGUUGCAGAGCACGGGCUCUAGAGCGCAGGCUCAGUAGUUGUGGCACACGGGCUUAGUUGCUCCGCGGGAUGUGGGAUCUUCCCGGAACAGGGCUCGAACCCGUGUCCCCUGCAUUGGCAGGCGGAUUCUUAACCACUGCACCACCAGGGGAGCCCCUCUUUGGUGUCUUAUAAGAGAUAAUUAUGUUUCAGCUUUAGUAGGUGAGACUCUAGGCCUUUGUUUGAAUUUUUGAAAUGUAGAAAUAUUGAGUAUAUGAUAUAAAACUUGACAAAACAAGAUCCUCACAUGUGAAAUGUUAAUAUAUGUAUGGAUUUGCAAAUAAGUGACAUAAUAUUGGGAAUGAAAAGAAAACAUUAGUUUAAGAAAGUAAUGAGCAGUGACCACGGUGACCCCUAAUUUAGUUAUUCUGGGUGCAGAGCCACUGUAUAGCCCUGCUGGGAAUUCAGGUUUGUUUUUUUAAUUACAGAGUGGGAAAAUCACUUUUAUAGCAUAGAUACUCUUUUUUUUUAAAGGUAAUAAAAUAUUUAGGUAUGGACAGAGCAGACAGUAUUGAAUGAAUGUUUAGAGUCAGGCUUGGAAGAAUUUUUUAUAGUAUUAAAAUGGAAGCUCUCAAAUCUUCACUUCCCCAUCUUCUGUCACCUUAUUAUUAUCAUUUCUUGUUGCAUAAGUGGAGUUAUCUAUCCUUCUGUAAAUACUCCGAUUUCUUUUACAGCCGAGUUUGUUACCCAUUUUGUGUGAUAAUUACUGGAACAAAGGUCACCAACCUCAUUGGCAUUUAGUCCACCCAGGAGGGCUAAGCAGUUGCAGCAAAUGUCCCUGUCCAGCCUAAAGGGAGGAGAGUAAAAUGAACUGGGGACUUGGUGGAAGGGAAAGAACAAGUUAGAUUGAAAGAGCAAAAGAAAGAGGCAGUUUUAAAAAGAUCACAAUGGGAACAGUUAUUUACUGGGUCAGAUUUGGUACUCAAGAAAUCUUCACCCUUCACCCUUUCUCCCCUUUUAAAGUUUGGUUAAUUUAUGCUUUUCUUUAGGUAAGAUAUUCAUAUGCGUUGAAAGCCAAAUGAGUCGAUAGUGUUUAGAGGAAAGAGCUUCCUGUUGUCCCAUCAUUCAUUUCCUCUGCCUGGAAGCAACCAGUGUUAGUUAGCAGUGUCUUGUGUAUCCUCUCAGGGAUAAUCUAUACAGAUGUGUGAAAAUACAUAUAUAUCCUCAUCAUCCCCCUUUCCAACACAAAUAGUAUCCUUAAAAAUCUGCUUUUUGGGGGGCAUUUUGCUUUUUUCACUUAACCCCAAAUCAGUAAAUAUAUCCUCAUUCUUUUUGUA